rnacentral:rRNA from 1 species
GGCGGGGGGGGCCUUACAAUGCAAGUCGAGCGGUUGAGGGGAGCUUGCUCCCUGAUUCAUCGGCGGACGGGUGAGUAAUGCCUAGGAAUCUGCCUAUUAGUGGGGGACAACGUUUCGAAAGGAACGCUAAUACCGCAUACGUCCUACGGGAGAAAGCAGGGGACCUUCGGGCCUUGCGCUAAUAGAUGAGCCUAGGUCGGAUUAGCUAGUUGGUGGGGUAAAGGCUCACCAAGGCGACGAUCCGUAACUGGUCUGAGAGGAUGAUCAGUCACACUGGAACUGAGACACGGUCCAGACUCCUACGGGAGGCAGCAGUGGGGAAUAUUGGACAAUGGGCGAAAGCCUGAUCCAGCCAUGCCGCGUGUGUGAAGAAGGUCUUCGGAUUGUAAAGCACUUUAAGUUGGGAGGAAGGGUUGUAGAUUAAUACUCUGCAAUUUUGACGUUACCGACAGAAUAAGCACCGGCUAACUCUGUGCCAGCAGCCGCGGUAAUACAGAGGGUGCAAGCGUUAAUCGGAAUUACUGGGCGUAAAGCGCGCGUAGGUGGUUUGUUAAGUUGGAUGUGAAAGCCCCGGGCUCAACCUGGGAACUGCAUCCAAAACUGGCAAGCUAGAGUACGGUAGAGGGUGGUGGAAUUUCCUGUGUAGCGGUGAAAUGCGUAGAUAUAGGAAGGAACACCAGUGGCGAAGGCGACCACCUGGACUGAUACUGACACUGAGGUGCGAAAGCGUGGGGAGCAAACAGGAUUACAUAACCUGUGUAGUCC